GUGCCAGCAGCCGCGGUAAUACAGAGGGUGCAAGCGUUAAUCGGAUUUACUGGGCGUAAAGCGCGCGUAGGCGGCUAAUUAAGUCAAAUGUGAAAUCCCCGAGCUUAACUUGGGAGUUGCAUUCGAUACUGGUUAGCUAGAGUGUGGGAGAGGAUGGUAGGAUUCCAGGUGUAGCGGUGAAAUGCGUAGAGAUCUGGAGGAAUACCGAUGGCGAAGGCAGCCAUCUGGCCUAACACUGACGCUGAGGUGCGAAAGCAUGGGGAGCAAACAGGAUUAGAAACCCGCGUAGUCC
rnacentral:rRNA from 1 species